rnacentral:rRNA from 1 species
GACGAACGCUGGCGGCGUGCUUAACACAUGCAAGUCGAACGAAGUGGCGAACGGGUUAGUAACGCGUAAUCAACCUGCCCUUCCGAGGGGUACAACAGUUGGAAACGACUGCUAAUACCGCAUACUGAAGUAGGGGAUUGCGUCUGAUUAGCUAGUUGGAGGGGUAACGGCCCACAAAGGCGAGGUUCAGUAGCCGGUCUGAGAGGAUGAACGGCCACAUGGGGACUGAGACAAGGCCCAGACUCUUACGGGAGGCAGCAGGGGGGAAUCUUCCGAAAUGGACGAAAGUCUGACGGAGCAACGCCGCGUGAGUGAAGACGGCCUUCGGGUUGUAAAGCUCUUUUAAUCGGGACGCGGUACCGGAAUAGAAAGCCACGGCUAACUACGUGCCAGCAGCCGCGGUAAUUC